UCUUUUUAUUUGUUAAAUUUUUUUCUUGGGGCGGUUUUGUGGAGCCUUUUUAGUUCUGGUUCUGGAGAAGCAAACAGCUAGGCUCCAGGAGAAAUAGCGCCUCCCCAUUACUUGCCUCAUUAGUGCUUGUUGUCCCUUUGAGUGGAUGAGGAUGUUGUUCCCGACCACCUGUAUUCUCUCCGCGUGCAUCUUGUUGGCCUCUCUCUCACUCUCGGCUGCUCUGAACCUCACCCUCCCUCACCAACACCCGGACCCUGAAGCUGUUGUCCAAGAUGUGCACAGGAGACUGAAUGCCUCCCUCUCAAGAAGACUCCUGUCCUCGUCCUCCUCGUCGUGUGGCACCGGCAACCCCAUCGACGACUGCUGGCGGUGUGACCCGAACUGGGCCUCGAACCGGCAGCGCCUGGCAGACUGUGGCAUCGGGUUUGGGCAGUCUGCGCUGGGGGGUCGCGACGGGCGCAUCUACGUGGUGACCGACUCCUCGGACUUGGACGUGGUGAACCCGACACCGGGGACGCUCCGGUACGGGGUCAUCCAGGAGGAGCCCCUGUGGAUCAUCUUCUCCGCCGACAUGAUGAUCCGGCUCAAGCACGAGCUCAUCAUCAACGAUUUCAAGACCAUCGACGGCCGGGGACACAACAUCCAAAUCACCGGCAACGGCUGCCUCACCGUCCAAUACGUCUCCAACAUCAUCAUCCACAACGUCCACAUCCACCACUGCAAGCCCUCCGGCAAUACCAACAUCCGGUCGUCGCCGACCCACGUCGGGUUCCGCGGGCGAUCCGAUGGGGACGGGAUAUCGAUGUUCGGGGCGUCGCACAUCUGGGUGGACCACUGCUCGCUGUCGUACUGCGCCGACGGGCUGAUAGACGCGAUCAUGGCGUCGACGGCGAUCACGAUAUCGAACAGCUACUUCUCGCACCACGACGAGGUGAUGCUGCUGGGUCAUGACGACAAGUACCUCCCGGACUCGGGGAUGCAGGUGACCAUCGCGUUCAACCACUUCGGGCAGGCACUGGUGCAGCGGAUGCCGCGGUGCCGGCGGGGCUACAUCCACGUGGUCAACAACGACUUCACGGCGUGGGAGAUGUACGCCAUCGGCGGCAGCGGCAACCCCACCAUCAACAGCCAGGGCAACCGCUACACGGCGCCGGCCAACCCCGACGCCAAGGAGGUGACGAAGCGCGUGGACACGGAGGAGAACCAUUGGUCGGACUGGAACUGGCGAACGGAGGGGGACAUCAUGGUGAACGGCGCCUUCUUCGUCCCGUCCGGGGUCGGCCUCAGCGCUCAGUACUCCAAGGCCUCCAGCAUCGAGCCCAAGUCUGCUGGCCUCAUCAACCAGUUGACCAUGAACGCCGGCGUCUUCGGCGAUCCUAGACCAGCAUCAACUUGACUGCAUUUGAGUUUGAGAUGAGCAGAGCAGUGAGGGAAGCUUCCCUCUGGGACUGAGCAUUUUUUAGGAAGAUAAUGCAGCCAAAUUUCCAGUUCAGCUAAGAUUGAACGUUAUUCCAACCACUAGGAUCUUGGACUCUGCAAUAAAAUCUUUUGUUGGACAACAGCGCCGGCAUAUCUUACCCGGGGUUUUCUGGGGGCGGGACCAGCACGACCACCACCCCCGGCGGCGGUGGAGGAAGCGGGUCCAACGGAGGGGAUGGCGACUACUUUGGAAUGAUUUUCGGGAGCGAUG